GACGAACGCUGGCGGCGUGCUUAACACAUGCAAGUCGAACGGAAAGGCCCUGCUUUUGUGGGGUGCUCGAGUGGCGAACGGGUGAGUAACACGUGAGUAACCUGCCCUUGACUUUGGGAUAACUUCAGGAAACUGGGGCUAAUACCGGAUAGGAGCUCCUGCUGCAUGGUGGGGGUUGGAAAGUUUCGGCGGUUGGGGAUGGACUCGCGGCUUAUCAGCUUGUUGGUGGGGUAGUGGCUUACCAAGGCUUUGACGGGUAGCCGGCCUGAGAGGGUGACCGGCCACAUUGGGACUGAGAUACGGCCCAGACUCCUACGGGAGGCAGCGGUGGGGAAUAUUGCACAAGGGGCGGAAGCCUGAUGCAGCAACGCCGCGUGCGGGAUGACGGCCUUCGGGUUGUAAACCGCUUUCGCCGGUGACGAAGCGUGAGUGACGGUAAUGGGUAAAGAAGCACCGGCUAACUACGU
rnacentral:rRNA from 1 species